rnacentral:rRNA from 1 species
GCCGGUGGGGGGGGGGCUUACCAUGCAAGUCGAACGAUGAUGCCCAGCUUGCUGGGCGGAUUAGUGGCGAACGGGUGAGUAAUACGUGAGUAACCUGCCCUUGACUCUGGGAUAAGCCUGGGAAACUGGGUCUAAUACUGGAUACUACCUCUUGCCGCAUGGUGGGUGGUGGAAAGGGUUUUACUGGUUUUGGAUGGGCUCACGGCCUAUCAGCUUGUUGGUGGGGUAAUGGCUCACCAAGGCGACGACGGGUAGCCGGCCUGAGAGGGUGACCGGCCACACUGGGACUGAGACACGGCCCAGACUCCUACGGGAGGCAGCAGUGGGGAAUAUUGCACAAUGGGCGGAAGCCUGAUGCAGCGACGCCGCGUGAGGGAUGACGGCCUUCGGGUUGUAAACCUCUUUCAGUAGGGAAGAAGCGAGAGUGACGGUACCUGCAGAAGAAGCGCCGGCUAACUACGUGCCAGCAGCCGCGGUAAUACGUAGGGCGCAAGCGUUGUCCGGAAUUAUUGGGCGUAAAGAGCUCGUAGGCGGUUUGUCGCGUCUGCUGUGAAAGCCCGGGGCUCAACCCCGGGUCUGCAGUGGGUACGGGCAGACUAGAGUGCAGUAGGGGAGACUGGAAUUCCUGGUGUAGCGGUGAAAUGCGCAGAUAUCAGGAGGAACACCGAUGGCGAAGGCAGGUCUCUGGGCUGUUACUGACGCUGAGGAGCGAAAGCAUGGGGAGCGAACAGGAUUAGAUACCCUGGUAGUCCAUGCCGUAAACGUUGGGCACUAGGUGUGGGGGACAUUCCACGUUUUCCGCGCCGUAGCUAACGCAUUAAGUGCCCCGCCUGGGGAGUACGGCCGCAAGGCUAAAACUCAAAGGAAUUGACGGGGGCCCGCACAAGCGGCGGAGCAUGCGGAUUAAUUCGAUGCAACGCGAAGAACCUUACCAAGGCUUGACAUUCACCGGACCACCCCAGAGAUGGGGUUUCCCUUCGGGGCUGGUGGACAGGUGGUGCAUGGUUGUCGUCAGCUCGUGUCGUGAGAUGUUGGGUUAAGUCCCGCAACGAGCGCAACCCUCGUUCUAUGUUGCCAGCACGUGAUGGUGGGGACUCAUAGGAGACUGCCGGGGUCAACUCGGAGGAAGGUGGGGAUGACGUCAAAUCAUCAUGCCCCUUAUGUCUUGGGCUUCACGCAUGCUACAAUGGCCGGUACAAAGGGUUGCGAUACUGUGAGGUGGAGCUAAUCCCAAAAAGCCGGUCUCAGUUCGGAUUGAGGUCUGCAACUCGACCUCAUGAAGUCGGAGUCGCUAGUAAUCGCAGAUCAGCAACGCUGCGGUGAAUACGUUCCCGGGCCUUGUACACACCGCCCGUCAAGUCACGAAAGUUGGUAACACCCGAAGCCGGUGGCCUAACCCCUUGUGGGAGGGAGCCGUCGAAGGGGGAAUUUGGGGU